UCCAUCUAGACUUCUAAAAGUUCGACAGUAAGCUCAAGUUCAGAUGGCAGCAUAUUAGCAAAGAAUAAUCUGGCAUUACAAUACAAAAUUCAAGCCAAAAAUCUUUCAUUCAGGAGACCUAAUCUUAAGAAAAGCAGAAGUUUCAAAGCCUAUAGAUAAGAAAAAAUUAUCUCAAAAUUGAGAAAGACCCUACAGAAUAACUAGGACAC
rnacentral:lncRNA from 1 species